rnacentral:pre_miRNA from 1 species
AAUAUGUGUAGUUUUGCACUAUUCACAUUCUAUUUGAAAAUAUUUUAUGAUUAGUACUUUUAUUGCUAUUAGAUAAUAAAACAUGAAUAGUACUUUAUGUGUGACUAAAUAUUUUCAAAUUUUUCACAAAUUUUUUAAAUAAGUCAGACGGUCAAAUAUUAGGCAUGGAUAUCCACGGCUACACUUAUU